UAGGUAUGAUAAUAUAUAAUAGUUAUGGCGUAGAAUGUCAUUUUUGUGGAAAAACUGGCUGAAAUGUGUUAUUGCUUACUUUAAGAUGAUUCCGAUGAAAGGAGUCUGCAUGUGUGUGUGUGUGUGUGUGUGUGUGUGUUUGAAACAGUAAAGCAAAAUGUUAGCAAUUGAUCUAA
rnacentral:sRNA from 1 species